GGUCGUAUGGGGUAGUGGUUAUCCCUCCGGAUUGUAUGUUUCAGAUUUCCUUUUCACAGAUCUUAAGCUAAUAUAUUACGCAGUUGAUUCCGGCAACCCCGGUUCGAUCCCGGGUACGACCU